UCGAGGAUCUUCGGCAAUGGGCGCAAGCCUGACCGAGCGACGCCGCGUGUGCGAUGAAGGCCUUCGGGUUGUAAAGCACUGUCGGGGGGGAGAAAGGCCGCAAGGCUUGAUCGACCUCCGGAGGAAGCACGGGCUAAGUUCGUGCCAGCAGCCGCGGUAAGACGAACCGUGCGAACGUUGUUCGGAAUCACUGGGCUUAAAGGGCGCGUAGGCGGACCGGCGAGUCAGGGGUGAAAGCCCGCGGCCUAACCGCGGAAGUGCCCCUGAUACCGCCGGCCUUGAGGGGGAUAGGGGCGUGCGGAACUUCGGGUGGAGCGGUGAAAUGCGUAGAUAUCCGAAGGAACACCGGUGGCGAAGGCGGCACGCUGGGUCCCUACUGACGCUGAGGCGCGAAAGCCAGGGGAGCGAACG
rnacentral:rRNA from 1 species